AUACGGCCACAUCACGUUCAAACACAGGUUACCUUACGAUCACCGAGGUUAAGCAACGUCGAGCUUGGUCAGUACCUAGAUGAGUGACCACUUGGAAAUACCAGGUGCUGUCA